GUGCUCGCCUCGGCAGCACGUAUACUAAAACUGGAACAAUACAGAGAAGAUUAGCAUGGCCCUUGUGCAAGGAUGAUAGCAAAUUCGUGAAGUGUUCCAUAUUUUC
ensembl:snRNA U6 U6 spliceosomal RNA